UACGGAGGGGGCUAGCGUUGUUCGGAAUUACUGGGCGUAAAGCGCACGUAGGCGGCGUCGUAAGUCAGAGGUGAAAGCCCGGGGCUCAACCCCGGAUGUGCCUUUGAGACUGCAGCGCUAGAAGGUGAGAGAGGUGAGUGGAAUUCCGAGUGUAGAGGUGAAAUUCGUAGAUAUUCGGAAGAACACCGGUUGCGAAGGCGGCCACCUGGUCCGGUACUGACGCUGAGGUGCGAAAGCGUGGGGAGCAAACAGG
rnacentral:rRNA from 1 species